UAAAGGAGACCUACCCGCUCAAAUAUUGAAAACAAUUUGUAAUUAGAUAUUGAGUUGGUCAUCCUAAUGGUCGGUCGCGUAUUUGUUGUUACUUUCUUUCAAACUAUAUUUUGGUUCAAAUUGGGCUAUUAGCUCAGGUGGUUAGAGCGCACCCCUGAUAAGGGUGAGGUCCCUGGUUCGAGUCCAGGAUGGCCCACCUGAAAAAAGUUAAAAGGGAAAAGUAAAAAGUAAAAAGAAUUUGUGAUUCUGUGUUUGCCUUUUGCCUUGUAACUUUUUUUGUUGGGGUAAAGCCAGGUGUUGAUUGUUAGCGGUCAUAUGUCCGUUAACGAACAGUAAUUAGAUAUGGAUUGCUUCAGCAACUGAGCAACUCAAUUGCCAGACUGCUGGAUACAUUUCCAGUAAUUGAACCUUGAAAACUGCAUAGUGAAGCGAAUAUUAGCAGGCAGACACACACAGACAUAACUGAAGUGGUGUUCUGUUGUCAAAAACAAUUGUUUUUU
rnacentral:tRNA from 1 species